GUAGCCAUUUUGGCUCAAG
rnacentral:misc_RNA from 1 species